rnacentral:rRNA from 1 species
UACGGAGGGUGCAAGCGUUAUCCGGAUUUACUGGGUUUAAAGGGUGCGUAGGUGGGUCUGUAAGUCAGUGGUGAAAUCUCCGAGCUUAACUCGGAAACUGCCAUUGAUACUAUAGGUCUUGAAUUAUAUGGAGGUAAGCGGAAUAUGUCAUGUAGCGGUGAAAUGCUUAGAUAUGACAUAGAACACCAAUUGCGAAGGCAGCUUACUACGUAUAUAUUGACACUGAGGCACGAAAAGCGUGGGGAUCAAACAGG